rnacentral:lncRNA from 1 species
CAAGAACAAAUAAUGAUAAAGAAAGUUGUAAACUAUUCACUGAAAUAAAUUACAGUUGUUUAAAUUUUAUGUAAAAGUAUUAAGAAAAUAAGGAGACCCAUACUUUCGCUAUGAGAUGUUUUUGUUUACUGUGCACCUUCGGAAGAAUGAGAACGAGUAAUUUCUGGAACAAAAACAUAUACAAAGCGCUAUUAUUUGCUUCCACACUAUUUAUUUCUUAUGAUUAUGAUGAAUUUUAUCAUCGUUUUAAAAAACAUGCAAAUUACGCAUUCGUUUAGAUUUUUCUAGGUCUGCGAUUUUAGUAAAAGAGGAAAUGUAUUUUUAACGACAAUAUCUAGCUUUAACCGAUAAAGACUUUUGCAUGCUCGUGAUCAAGAUAGCAUUUUCAAAAAUAAUGAUCAGUAAAGAAAAAGUGAAACAAACAAAUUCAAGUAUAUGGAGAUCGCAUAGAAAUGAUGUUUAAGAAAAGUUUGGAAACAAACAAAAAAGUUCUUCGGCUUUCCGAACCAAUAGUUUUCAGGCUGUUGAAGAAGAAACAGAAUUUAUUGAUGAUUUAAAUGAACCCAGUUUUGACGAGUUUAUAUUACCAAGAUCUAUCAGUGAUGAUAUUGGGUAUCAUAAUUUAUCCCAAAAUUUAGAACUUGAUGAAAGUAGUAAUGAUCUUUUUGACUACAGAUAUUUGAUUUCUGGUAAUGAAAAAGAAUAUGACCAUAUAUUAGGUUUAAAAUUAAAAGAAUAGUCACUUCGAAAAAACUGUACCAGACGAUGCACAAAUGAAAUUUUGGCCAUAUUUUCUGAUCUUAAAGAUCAAGUGCUUCUGGACAGUAGGACUUUAUUAAAAACAAAAAGAAAUAUUUAUUCCAAAAAUAUUGAUGGUGGCAAGUAUAUAUAUCUGGGAUUGCAAAAACAGAUCACGAAACAAAUAAAUUGUCAUUCAAUUCCGGAUAUUAACAUUUCUUUAAGCUUUAAUAUAGAUGGUUUGCCAUUGUACAAAUUCAGCUCUACACAGCUAUGGCCUAUUGUUGGUCUCAUUAAAGAUUACAAUCCAUUUUUGAUUGGAAUGUAUUGCAGUUCAAUAAAACCUAAAGCUAUUUAUUUUUGAAGGAUUUUUCAGAAGAGUUUAAAACAUUAACAAGCACUCCAAUUUUAGUUAAUGGCAAAAGUUAUAUGAUCCAAAUUUAUGCUUUAGUUUGUGAUGUCCCCGCUCGCUCUUUAUUGAAAGGUGUAGUUAAUCACAAUGGUUAUCAUUCUUGUGAACGAUGUACAGUUGUGGAAAAAAGUAUAUUAAACCGAGUUGUUUUUUUCUCAUUUGGAAGUAAAUGUAGAUUUGCGUACAAAUAUUGGGUUUAGAAAUUAUAAAUAUGCCGAAAAAGAUAACAAUGGAAGAUGUCAUCAACACGAAAAAUUUAUCUUCAGUGAAAUACAUUAUUUUAAUUUUAUAAACAAGUUUCUUUUUGACUAUAUGCACCUUAUUUGUUUCGGAGCUACCCGUAGAAUUCUAUAUUUUUUUAAGGGUGGGAUUAAAGGUACCAAUUAUGGAAAAUUUCUUUAAAAAUGUUAGACCGAAUUUCUAAUAGUUUAUUUCAAAUCAAUGGAAAGUUACCAAGUGGAUUUGCUAGACAGCCUAAAUGUCUUUCUGAUUUAGAUAGAUGGAAAGCAACAGAGUUACGGUCUUUUUUAUUAUAUUCUGUUAUGAUUGUAUUAAAAGACAUAGUUGAUUUAUGUACUUAUAAACAUUUUUUAAGACUAUCAAUUUCAGUACGGAUUUUGUUAGUAAAAGCUAACUUUGGUUAUAACAAAUACUCUUGUUUCUAUUAUAGAAAAGAUUGUAUGGAUAACUAUUUCACACACUUUUUAAACUCAAAGGAUUUAGGUAUAUACUUCUUAAGAAGCAAUGUUCGACACGUUGUCAGAGUUAAACAUAAAGAUACUUUGGUAAACAAAUGUUUUUGCUUGCCAGUAAAAGACGGCUUUGUUAUUAGUAAACUAUUGCACAAUUUAUGCUAACCUAAACUUUGUUAUAUUUUUUUAUCUUUAUUGGCUAUUUUUAUUAUCUAUUACAACGUUUAAUGUUUAGUCUUAUAAAUACAUUUUUCUAAAGUUAUAUUAGUCAAACAAAAAAAUUCAGUAUAUAUAUACACUGAUAAAAUUAAAUCUUGACAAUGGAACAAAAGAGAUGUGCGAUGCAUGCAUGAAAUUGAAUUCAGAGUUUUUAAAUUCUGAUUUUCAAGAAAAUAGUUUUUUAAAACUUUAACAUGAUUUUUAAAAUUAAUAGUUUUUUUUAUUCAGGUACUUUAUUAGAUUUAAUAAAAUAAUGCAGUUUUGUAUUUUUAUUUUUAAAAUCAAUUUCAGAAUGUAGUAGUGCAACAUAUGAUAAUCUAUUGCACAUAAGAGAAGGAAGUCCUGAUAUUACUGUGCAAAGAGUUACUGAACCGUCUUUAUUUUCUUCAAGAUUUUUUGUACCCCCUAAAAAGGAUCCUAAGAUAGUAUCUACUCGAAAAUAUCAAGAAAACGAUAUUUCGAAUUUAGAAGAGGAUUUUGAAUUUCAAUCUACUUUUUUAUCUGCAUCAAAUCAACAUGAUUCAUUUUUGCAACAAGUUCAAAAAGACACUCCAGAGAGAUUGCAGGAACUUAUUGUUAUGAUGAACCACCUGCAAGUUUUGAAGCCAUGGAUGAAAGACUGGAAAAGCUGGGAAGAAGGACAGAGCCAGAAGAUUCGUUAUGUUUUAUGGAUAAAUGCAAGAAUAUAAUAGAAUUUGAUGAAAGAGAAAUAAUUUUAAAUAAUAACGAAAAGUUUCGUUUGAUGGUGGAAAUUCAAUAUCAGCGUCAGUUAAUAAGGUUUUCGACGAAACUAUGACAAAAAGUGUCCAAGCUUUGUUUCACAAAGCAGGAAGAUACGGAAAAAGAUCGUUUCAAAAAACAUUAUUGUAUAAAGCAAUUAUAGAAAAAUUGGUGUCACAUUCGAUUUGGUCAACAAGUUAAUUAGCGAUCAUUUGAAGAGAGCUCCUCAUAGAUUAACUUAACAAAUUAUUUUAUUUCUUUUAUGUAUAUUUACAUUAUAAAUAAAAACAAAAUAAUUAAA